rnacentral:rRNA from 1 species
GACGAACCGUGCGAACGUUAUUCGGAAUCACUGGGCUUAAAGCGCGUGUAGGCGGGAGGGCACGUCCGUCGCUGAAAUCCCCCGGCUCAACCGGGGAACGGGCGCGGAUACGACCUUCCUGGAGGGGCGUAGGGGGACCUGGAACUUCCGGUGGAGCGGUGAAAUGCGUUGAGAUCGGAAGGAACGCCCGUGGCGAAAGCGAGGUCCUGGACGCCUACUGACGCUGAGACGCGAAAGCCAGGGGAGACGAACGGG